UCCAGCCCCUGAGGGACACUAGCCCCUGAAAGGUGACAGUGUCAUACUCCGUACAUGCCAGCGAUAGAUCCAUCUCAAUGCCACAUGGUUCUUCCCUGCCUCUGGGAUACCUUCAGAUACUUGCCCAGAGCAUCACAAAGCAGCAGGUAUCCCUUCAUAAGAUCUCACAAGGUGUCAGUUCCCAGGCACCUUCUAGUGGGAAAGUUUACUAAGAUUGGUUUUCUAAUCUCAAGGGAAAGAGCAAAGAACAGAAUGCCACCUCCAUGUCCCCCACAGUGAUCUUCAGGAGGUGAUGAGACAAGAGCAAGCCAGGCACAGGAAGACAAAUGAUGCCUUGGGAUCUCGUUUAUGUGUGGAAUCUGAAGACCCUGACGUCACAGAAGAUAAUUCUAGAAUGGUGGACAGCAGAGGCUGAGGAGGGUGGAGGGAGAGGAUGGUAACAAGCCAGUUGCAUGAAGUUAGAAAUGGGAAGGAAGAAUACGCUCUGGCCUUUGGUGCACAGCAAGGGUGCUAAAACUUCCACAUCAAACACAGCCAACACCUGGAAGAAAUGAUUCUGAAUGUUCUCAUCAGAAAGAAAUAACAACUGUAUGAUCAGUCUUUUAAAAGUUUCUCAAUUGAAGUAAUUUAGAAGAUCAGUGGUUAAGGAGACAACCAUCAACAUAAUGGACAUUUCCUCUGUCCUUCCUCUUCAGAGUCUCCCAGAAUUCUGGCUGCUUUCAAGAGAUGGAUUUCUCUUCAGAUUUGUGGUCACCUUUAAUGGUGGCUCACUAUCUAGAAGAUAAGACAGAAACCAGCUGAAGCAGGGACAGCAGACUAUGGCUUGUGCCUUGCUCGGCUCAUCACGUGUUUUCUCGGCUGGAGGAAGUGACUCAGGCUGGAUGUGAGUGCCCUGUACUUACUUACGACUUCUGAGGUGAUCUGGACUCAGAUGGGACCUCUUCUCCAGCUCCAGGUCAAAGGGGCUUCUUUAGGGGAGGGACCAAGAGCGUCUGGGACAGAGCAAGGCAGUUAAUGCCAGAAUUAUUUUGGAGUUGUGUAGCUAUCCACAAUACUGCUUUGUUGACAGUCAAAAUGAUUUCACACCCAUUUCUUCUUGCAAAGCCAAAAUGACAGGUGUGUGACUUGGAGGGGAGAGGUGGCUUGUGUCACAUUCAACCAGCAGCGACCUAACUUCCCACCACACUCUGGUCAGCCUCCUGUGGCCCAUUUCUUUACAUCUGAAGGGUUGUCCAAAUCCAUACCCCCCUCUGCAUUUGGUGUCUGUCCAUUGGGUCUGACAAAAAUAAAUGCUAUUUACAAAAACCUACCCCAGCACCCAGGGAGAAAGCUGACCACUGCUUUUCCAGCUUUGUGUGUUUUCAUGCAUUUUCAUGAGCAUUCUUAUCAGAGUUCCAAGAGCGGAGUGGAAAGAGUCUUUUACAGAUGAGCGAAUUGAAAUUCAACAAAAUUAAAUACCUUGCUCAAGGCUAUGCAGCCUCUGCCCAGUCAUCUUGAGUCAUAAUUAACUGUCUGGAUCCCAGAGAGAAAGAAAUCACAGACCAACAGUGUGACGGUGGGAAACGAAACGUCCAGAGGUGGCUGUUCUUAAAGGGAUGUGGACAACUGUCUGGGAGUCCCGGUGCCUGGGGUGACCACACUGAGGUCCCUCACCCAAACAGAUUGAUGACAACUCUGAGAGUGGAUCGAGGAGGAAGGUUUUAUCCCAAAUAAGCCUUUUUAUUAUAGUAAAGCUCAGCGAACACAAUAAACACUGUAGGCCUACUGUUUGCGAGCGUUAAUCACCCAAGUUAAUCCAAAAUGUUCUGCAUUGACUCCCGGGUCAAUGCAAGGCAUUGCCAAAGGAGACCGGCAUUGACCGUUGAUCCAAAGUCUGUCUCUACCAGAGUUUGAAACAACCAUUGUGCACGCAUGCCCCUUCGGGGCCCUAUAGACUGCUCUGUUUACUAAAUCUCUGCUGGCUUCUGGUUUGCAUUUCUCUUUUUGUGGCCAACAAAGGACAUAUUGUUCGUUACUAAGAUCCCUUGAUUAAAACUCCAAGUGUUGAGCAA